UACGGGGGGAGCAAGCGUUGUUCGGAUUUAUUGGGCGUAAAGGGCGCGUAGGCGGCUUGGCAAGUGGGUGGUGAAAUCCCUCGGCUUAACCGAGGAACUGCCGUCCAAACUGCUUCGCUUGAGUCCGGGAGAGGUGAGUGGAAUUCCCAGUGUAGCGGUGAAAUGCGUAGAUAUUGGGAGGAACACCAGUGGCGAAGGCGGCUCGCUGGACCGGUACUGACGCUGAUGCGCGAAAGCGUGGGGAGCAAACGGG
rnacentral:rRNA from 1 species